GUAAAACUUCAGGGCAAGGUGAAAUUCCUGACCGGUGGUAAAGUCCACGAGCAAAGCUUAAUAUAAAGUUAUUUAGCUGCAUGAAACGGUGUAAUUCCGUUACCGACAGUAUAGUCUGGAUGAAAGAAGUGGUAU
rnacentral:ncRNA from 2 species